rnacentral:misc_RNA from 1 species
GAUGAAGAACGCAGCGAAAUGCGAUAAGUAGUGUGAAUUGCAGAAUUCAGUGAAUCAUCGAAUCUUUGAACGCACAUUGCGCCCCUUGGUAUUCCAUGGGGCAUGCCUGUUUGAGCGUCAUUUGUACCUUCAAGCUUUGCUUGGUGUUGGGUGUUUGUCUCGCCUUUGCGUGUAGACUCGCCUUAAAAUAAUUGGCAGCCGGCGUAUUGAUUUCGGAGCGCAGUACAUCUCGCGCUUUGCACUCAUAACGACAGCGUCCAAAAGUACAUUUUACACUCUUGACCUCGGAUCAGGUAGGGAUACCCGCUGAACUUAAGCAUAUCCAAUAAGCGGAGGA